CCCUAGUAACUGCGAGUGAAGCGGGAAAAGCUCAAAUUUAAAAUCUGGUGGUCUUUGAUCAUCCGAGUUGUAAUCUAGAGAAGUGUUAUCCGCGCUGGACCGUGUACAAGUCUCCUGGAAUGGAGCGUCAUAGAGGGUGAGAAUCCCGUCUUUGACACGGACUGCCAGGGCUUUGUGAUGCGCUCUCAAAGAGUCGAGUUGUUUGGGAAUGCAGCUCAAAAUGGGUGGUAAAUUCCAUCUAAAGCUAAAUAUUGGCGAGAGACCGAUAGCGAACAAGUACCGUGAGGGAAAGAUGAAAAGAACUUUGGAAAGAGAGUUAAACAGUACGUGAAAUUGCUGAAAGGGAAACGCUUGAAGUCAGUCGCGUUGGCCGGGGAUCAACCUUGCUUUUGCUGGGCGUACUUUCCGGUUGACGGGUCAGCAUCAAUUUUGACCGUUGGAUAAAGUUCAGGGGAAUGUGGCAUCUUCGGAUGUGUUAUAGCCUUUGUUCGCAUACAACGGUUGGGAUUGAGGAACUCAGCACGCCGCAAGGCCGGGUAUUUAUACUACGUUCGUGCUUAGGAUGCUGGCAUAAUGGCUUUAAUCGACCCGUCUUGAAACACGGACCAAGGAGUCUAACAUGCCUGCGAGUGUUUGGGUGGAAAACCCGAGCGCGUAAUGAAAGUGAAAGUUGAGAUCCCUGUCGUGGGGAGCAUCGACGCCCGGACCAGACCUUUUGUGACGGAUCCGCGGUAGAGCAUGUAUGUUGGGACCC
rnacentral:rRNA from 1 species